rnacentral:rRNA from 1 species
GUGAGUAACGCGUGAGGAACCUGCCUCAAAGAGGGGGACAACAGUUGGAAACGACUGCUAAUACCGCAUAAGCCCACGGCUCGGCAUCGAGCAGAGGGAAAAGGAGCAAUCCGCUUUGAGAUGGCCUCGCGUCCGAUUAGCUAGUUGGUGAGGUAACGGCCCACCAAGGCGACGAUCGGUAGCCGGACUGAGAGGUUGAACGGCCACAUUGGGACUGAGACACGGCCCAGACUCCUACGGGAGGCAGCAGUGGGGAAUAUUGCACAAUGGGGGAAACCCUGAUGCAGCGACGCCGCGUGGAGGAAGAAGGUCUUCGGAUUGUAAACUCCUGUUGUUGAGGAAGAUAAUGACGGUACUCAACAAGGAAGUGACGGCUAACUACGUGCCAGCAGCCGCGGUAAAACGUAGGUCACAAGCGUUGUCCGGAAUUACUGGGUGUAAAGGGAGCGCAGGCGGGCGAUCAAGUUGGAAGUGAAAUCCAUGGGCUCAACCCAUGAACUGCUUUCAAAACUGAUUGUCUUGAGUAGUGCAGAGGUAGGCGGAAUUCCCGGUGUAGCGGUGGAAUGCGUAGAUAUCGGGAGGAACACCAGUGGCGAAGGCGGCCUACUGGGCACCAACUGACGCUGAGGCUCGAAAGUGUGGGUAGCAAACAGGAUUAGAUACCCUGGUAGUCCACACCGUAAACGAUGAUUACUAGGUGUUGGAGGAUUGACCCCUUCAGUGCCGCAGUUAACACAAUAAGUAAUCCACCUGGGGAGUA